rnacentral:lncRNA from 1 species
CAAGGUUAGCCUGCAUGAGCAUCGAGUACAUCUAGAGGGUCUGCAGUAGCUUCUGCCACUGCUGGGAGCUCACUAUCAAUUCUGAGGGAGGAUACAUUCACUAAAACAUGUUAUUUAGUUUUUAAUUAAAUGUUUAUAAACUUGUUUCCUAAUUCACUAAGGAUCCUGCUAUCGACUUCAACACUUUGUUUGUUAAACUGGGUAAUUAAUAAAGGGUGGGCCAGUAACGGUUUGAUAUUUGGAAUAAACAGGUUCAAAAUUCAAAUAUUAAUUUGCAGUUGAAUAAAUUACUUUAACAUUAUUCAAGACACUCCUUUUCUUUGAAGAAGGUCAAAUAGAUAAACUUUUUUCAUCAUUUUGGGUAGGAUAUUGAAGGCAAUUAUUGCUAGUAUUGAAAAUAAUUGUUAAAAGUUGGUGCAAUAUGCAUUAUUUAAACAUAAAUCUAAGUAUAUAAUUUACACAUGAUGGAUGUUUAUUGGUGAUUGAUAUCUAAAUUAUCAUGUUUUACAUUUGAAAUCAGAUCAUUCAAGUAAUAGUACAUUAGUCGGCAUCAUAAUUCUGGUUGGCCCUUGAGAUCACCGGAUGAAGCUAAAUUUAUAUUAUUGAAGGGCUCAAAAUUCAAUUGUAUGCUGUUACAGAAAAGUUCACUGCGCCUUUUUCGCCCACAGAAAAUUCAACUCCCUCUUUUCACCCAAAUACAACUUUAUCCCAAGACAAGUUCAUUCUGAAGCAUGAUCACUGCGUGGAAAAGUUAUACCGAAUCUAGUUCAUCGUGAAGGAAGUUCAUCCCGGGUAUAAAACAUGAUGUAUAUUUUUUUUAAUAUUUAAUACUUAUAUAAUUAUGAGAGAAGGACAAAUGAGCGCAUUGUACUUGUGUAAUGUACAACUUGUUCACGUUCAUUUUUGCACACUCAAUGGACUCAUUUUUCCUUCUCAAAUAAGUACAUUAUUUGUCAAAUUGCACAUUUAAGAAAUACAUUAAGGUAACUUUCAAAUACCAUAUCACCAA